rnacentral:rRNA from 1 species
UACGUAGGGUGCAAGCGCUGUCCGGAAUUAUUGGGCGUAAAGAGCUCGUAGGCGGUUUGUCGCGUCUGCCGUGAAAGUCCGGGGCUCAACUCCGGAUCUGCGGUGGGUACGGGCAGACUAGAGUGAUGUAGGGGAGACUGGAAUUCCUGGUGUAGCGGUGAAAUGCGCAGAUAUCAGGAGGAACACCGAUGGCGAAGGCAGGUCUCUGGGCAUUAACUGACGCUGAGGAGCGAAAGCAUGGGGAGCGAACAGG